rnacentral:sRNA from 1 species
CAUACUAAACGCAGUUGUUGAAAGCCAUAAAUAGAAAAUAGAAAAUUACAGCCCAAUCGGAUAAGAUUUGCGAUAGAGGCUCAACUGGAUAGUGCAUAAAAAUCCUUACGGGGAUAUUCAACUUUAAUUUUUAUUUUUGGAUAUUUUGUUCGAGACCGGCUUCAUACAUAUACAUAAUUUAUACAGUUUGGAGAAUAAUUGCGGCAACAGCGUUUUUAGGGCAUGUGGCGAAGAUGAUGAGAAGUUGGAACAUUUUCUAUGACAAUGCCCGGCUUACGCAGCUAACAGACCUCUGCACUUGGGUGCGGAUACGAUACCUGAGCCAGCUUAAGGGCACAAAAUUCCUGACAUAAAUGUCUUCAGGAACACUUUUUUCUGAUCAAGGGCUCAAAAGCUAAGAAGCAUAAAAAUAUCUCCAAAGUGGCAUGGUGGUGAUUAGAAUCCGCACCCUCUUUUCAAUCUAACUUAACCUAACCAUGUCGAAUGUGAUACCACUGGUAGAGAGCUGUCCACGCACAAGUUCGACGCACUCUCUAACUUAACUACCGGAGUGGUUUGUAACAUUUUUGGUUUUAUAUUGCGAUCCUCCAAACGUCGGACUGGUAGACCGAUGUAUCAAUUUAAGGUUGUGGUCCUACAAAAAAUGCACAUUUAUUACUCGAUUUCUCUUAAAAUUGAAAUAAUUACGACUUUAAAAUAUUUUAUGAUAUAUUUUAUGAUAUUAGUCAACUAAACGGAUCUCCCGAUUUGAGGUACUUUAUUUGCCAGCAGAAGAGAGCAAAUUUUGACAGUUAGAAAAUAGAGAAUCUGCAAAUUUAUACUGGGACAUUUUUUGCCAGCAGAAAUUUGCAACUUUGAACAGAUGUUUUGUAAAGGUCAGCUGUUUUAUGAAAAGCAGCCGUUACAUGAAAAUACAGAAGCUAACGGCAAAAUGGACCAAAAAUGCAGAGAUUCAUGGCAGCAGCAAGUGGUCACUUACAGAAAACUCCCCAUAUGAAGUUGUAAUUUUACCUCAAGUCGAUUGUUCUACAUUAGAAGUAUUUUGAUAGAAUCAUCCGCAUUGGAGAGUUACGAUGAAACCAACCGUUCCUUUGAAUUUGUUAAGGAGGGAAGAUGCUGUGCAGUUAAACAAGUGACGCACAAUGGGAUUAGAAA